UAUUUAAUAGUUUAUUUAAAACAUUAAAUUGCAAAUUUAAAAAUGUUAUAACUAAUAACUUAAAUAU
rnacentral:tRNA from 1 species